rnacentral:misc_RNA from 1 species
GAUGAAGAACGCAGCGAAAUGCGAUAAGUAAUGUGAAUUGCAGAAUUCAGUGAAUCAUCGAAUCUUUGAACGCACAUUGCGCCCGCUGGUACUCCGGCGGGCACGCCUGUCCGAGCGUCAUUUCAACCCUCAAGCCCUCCUUCGGGAUGGGCCUGGUGUUGGGGCUCGGCCGCCAUCUCCGGCGGCCGUCCCCUAAAUACAGUGGCGGUCACGUCGCGACUCCUUUGCGUAGUAGAAACACCUCGCUCCGGAUAGCAACGCGGUCCACGCCGUAAAACCCCCAAUUUUCAAUGGUUGACCUCGGAUCAGGUGGGAAUACCCGCUGAACUUAAGCAUAUCAAUAAGCGGAGGA